rnacentral:rRNA from 1 species
ACAAACGCUGGCGGCGUGCUUUAGGUAUGCAAAUCGAGCGGUCUCGGUCGCAAGAUCGAGAUAGCGGUGAACGGCUGAGUAACACGUAGGAAUCUACCCUUAGGCGGAGAAUAGCUCAUCGAAAGAUGGGGUAAUUCUCCAUAAUCUCAAAGCUUUGCUUUGAGCAAAGGGAACAGCAAUGUUUCCACCCAAGGAGGAGCCUGCGUCCCAUCAGCUAGUUGGCGGGGUAAAAGCCCACCAAGGCAAUGACGGGUAGGGGGCGUGAGAGCGCAAUCCCCCAGAGGGGCACUGAGAUACGGGCCUCACUCCUACGGGAGGCAGCAAUCUGGAAUAGUCGACAAUGGGCGAAAGCCUGAUCGCGCGACGCCGCGUGGAAGAUGACACUCUUCGGAGCGUAAAUUCACAUUAAAAAGAGGCGGCUAACUUCGU